AAGAGCGUAGUGCGGGAAAUCUGCACGCUACGUUCUGAGGGAGCCGGAGGCAGGUGACUGCCUCCGGCCACCCGGU
rnacentral:ncRNA from 1 species